AGCCAGCUCCUCCGAGGGGCCGUGCCUGCCUUGAAAGCGGAGGGUGCCCGGGCGGGAGGGGGUUGCAGGGACCCCCGGAGAGCGGCUGCGGGCCCCAGCGGAGAGAGGAGAAAGCUUGCAUCGCCAGAGCCGCGCCGCUUCGGGCCGGGCAGCGCCUGGCGUCGCGGAGGCUCCGCGCCCGCGGAGAUUGUGCGGCCGCCGCCGGCCCCGCCGUGUUUGUUCAGUUUACGGGAACACAACCGGACAGCAAAACAGAUGCUCCGCAACCCAUUAAAAUGGGCCACCUGUUUUUCACAUCAUGCCCCAUCUCAAAGCUGGUUUUCUUCAUUAUAUCCCUCCCAACAGACACCAUGAAAUACAUCACUCAUUUAGAUAUGGAAGCCGACCUCUGGAGGACGACUUGCGCGGAGGACUUUGAUGUUGAGAGACAGAUUGCAAAAGACAGAAAGCCCCUUUCUAUGUUUCUAAUUACCCCGAACCCAGGGUCUGCCGCUGAUUAGGGUGGCGGGGCGAGGCGGGCGGGAGGCUCGGCUCUGCCCUGCCUGGCCCGGCAGGGCGAGGAGGGGCUGCCAGCCUCCUUAUAUCGCGCUGCCAGGAAAACCAACACGGGUGCAUAAACACAGCUACCGACUUAAAUCAACAGCGAGCUGCAGCUAACAGCAAACAGCCCGUGCCGGCGUGAAAACGGGGCAAAAAAAUUCUGCAUCCUCACCCGCACCCCCGCCCUCCCCGCCGCUGAAGAUUUAGGAGUAGACCAAAUCGGCUCCCGCAGCCAAAACUUUUGCAAAGCGGUGCGCUGAAAGCAUUACAGAGCUUGCUAACACUUCAGCUCACAUGCGAGCCUUUUAUCUCGGCAGUGCAGUUGGAAAAGCUGAAUCACCGCGGAGGGAGUGAGGACUGAAGGGUAUUUUUUCAUAUGCAUCAGGCUGCACUUUAUUUGAUCUUCACAGUCCCCAUUUCUAUCAAUAUUGCUAAAGCUGAGGGAUCAAACACGAAAAAAAUUAAAACCAUGCUAGUAUGCUAAAGAAGAUUAAGAUCGUGGCAAUAUAUUGACUGCUCCUUGGGGAAAUCAUGUUGUUGGCUGCAGGAACCGUAGCUGUCAAGGAGGGAAAGCUUGUGCUUCAGGAAUGGGCAAUGGGGAAGAGGUUUGGGAGCCUGCAUCCAAACUUGCCCAGGAACAAUCUCAAGUGCCCAUGAUCGCAAUGCCCCUCUGUGCUCCCAGCCCGGAUGCAUGGCCAUCACCCAUCCAAGGAGUCAACUCAGUUUGCCAAGCUAAGCCCAACUGUCCCCAUUUUUACACCCACAAGCAAGCAUCUCCAAGUGAGUCCCACCGGUAGUCUCAAGGGAUAUCAACUCCAGGCCCCAAAAUAGGAGUCCCACAUUUUCAAGUGUGGAUAGCUUCAAGAUCUCACUUAAAACCCCCAACUGGAAACAUGUAUAUGGGAGGUUUGGAGCUUCUGCUGGGGAAGAUUGUUCAAUCCAGAACUGUUCUACCGUCACAUCAUUCCCCUUUGACCCUUAGGAGUUAAUUUAUUUUGAAAAGAUUUAAUAACCUUUCGAAUUCCUGGCCACCUGUUCUGGCUGCUUAUGUGGAAGGAGAGCUUUUUUCAGAAAGCCCAGCCUCAGCCAUGAGGCCAGAAGUCCCUUGAAAACACAAGUCCAUGUCAUGCAUGCCUUUUCAGUGAGAGCUCCUCCAUGUCCAACAUCUCCAUCAUUCUCUGCUUUGCCAAGGUCUUGUCACCUUUCAGCUCAGGGUGGAAACCACCUCUUUCCUCAGGGAAACAGGGCCAGUGGUGGGCCCUUGUGUGUGUAUAUUUUGUAGCCUUUUGUAAGUUUUCUUACAUGGUAAAAUCUUUGUAGAGCUUUCUACUUUAAACAAGACAUCCCCUUUUUUUAAUGUUGUUUCUUCCUUUUCUCUCAGGAAACCCACUCCCUCGUGUAUUUGCAGCAAACUGAGAUGCAGCCAAUUGUAUUAGUUCUGGCUGGAGCAAAAAAGGCAUAAUGAAACACUGGAUGUGUUGUGUGAGUCCAAAAUAAAUGGUCACAAGCAGAGCCAGUAAAAACCUGCAAGCACAGACAGUCUGUGAAAAAGGAAAAGCUUGGACUCUACCUGCGGUACUCUGCAUUUUUCCAAAGGGAAAAAUGAACUUGAGGUUUAAAGAGCUUGGGAAGAGACGCUGGGGCACUGUGCCUUUUGAUUGCAUUUGUGAAUUGUGAUGAUGCUUGCAUUUUUUUGUGAAUACAGCAUCUGUAAGUGGGAGAAGGUGUUUUAUCUUCUGUUUUAACCUGUAUUCUCAAAGUGCAGCAGUUUGGUUUUUAUGUGCCAGAUGUCAAUGUGCCCUGAUUCUUCAAGCAGUUGGGAUUAAAGCUUUCCAGUAUCAGA